rnacentral:tRNA from 2 species
CGGGGUGUAGCGCAGCCUGGUAGCGCAUCUGCUUUGGGAGCAGAGGGCCGGGAGUUCAAAUCUCUCCACCCCGACCA